AGAGUUUGAUCCUGGCUCAGGAUGAACGCUAGCUACAGGCUUAACACAUGCAAGUCGAGGGGAAACGACAUCGAAAGCUUGCUUUUGAUGGGCGUCGACCGGCGCACGGGUGAGUAACGCGUAUCCAACCUGCCCACCACUUGGGGAUAACCUUGCGAAAGUAAGACUAAUACCCAAUGACGUCUCUAGAAGACAUCUGAAGGAGAUUAAAGAUUUAUCGGUGAUGGAUGGGGAUGCGUCUGAUUAGCUUGUUGGCGGUGUAACGGCCACCAAGGCGACGAUCAGUAGGGGUUCUGAGAGGAAGGUCCCCCANACUUGGAACUGAGACACGGUCCAAACUCCUACGGGAGCA
rnacentral:rRNA from 1 species